GGCACAGCUCAAUUUGAAAUCUGGCCCCCUCGGGGCCCGAGUUGUAAUUUGGAGAAGAUGCUUCGGGUGUGGCCCCGGCCUAAGUUCCUUGGAACAGGACGUCACAGAGGGUGAGAAUCCCGUACGUGGCCGGUGGCCGCCCCCGUGUGAAGCUCUUUCGACGAGUCGAGUUGUUUGGGAAUGCAGCUCAAAAUGGGUGGUAAAUUUCAUCUAAAGCUAAAUAUGGGCCAGAGACCGAUAGCGCACAAGUAGAGUGAUCGAAAGAUGAAAAGCACUUUGGAAAGAGAGUUAAACAGUACGUGAAAUUGUUGAAAGGGAAGCGCUGGCAACCAGACUUGCGCGCGGGCGAUCAUCCGGUGUUCUCACCGGUGCACUCGCCCGCGCGCAGGCCAGCAUCGGUUUGGGCGGCUGGACAAAGGCCCUAGGAACGUGACCCCCUUCGGGGGGUGUUAUAGCCUAGGGCGCAAUGCAGCCCGCCCGGACCGAGGACCGCGCUCCGGCUAGGAUGCUGGCGUAAUGGUUGUCAGCGACCCGUCUUGA
rnacentral:rRNA from 1 species